ensembl:lncRNA
UUUUUGUGGUUUUGUUUUUCUUUAUUAAAGUUACAAGGGAAGGACAUUUAUUUAUCAACUUGUUUGCCAUAAAAAAUGUGGGGAUUUCAGGUAUAAUACAUCCUUGAAAUAAGGGGUUAAAACAAUCAAAGAAAUAAUAUACAUUUUAAAUAUACUUCUCAAUAUUGAAUUAGGUGGAUAAGAAAAAUUGUGUAAUGACUGAUGCAUCCUGAUGCUAAAUAUCCAUAUAUCCCGCUUCAACCCAAUUCGCAGCUAGGGGUAAUAGUGAAUGCAGACAUGCACUUUUUCUCUAAUUUUUAAAAAUGUGUUCUGCUUUUAUGCCAAGUAACACCUGUAAAGAACCUUUUCAAAUGAUGCCAAUAGCCAACAUAGUUACACACCACCAAUGUUCUCUUAACUUGUGGUAACAAUUACAUUGUCUGGUGCCCGUGUUAUUUAGCUACAACUAUUGAUUAUAAUGCAUAUGGACGUUCAUUUUAACUCCAACCUUCUCAAUGCUGAGGUGGUUAAUCUGUUAGUAAAGACAGUGUAUGUUUUUAGAACAUUUUACAAAGAAAUGUCCCAUCUCAAUGACCCACCUGCUCUUUGUUUAAUGGAGGAAAAACACAAGAUACAGACAAAUCAACAGUAGCAUCAUCAUCAUCAUCAUCAUGUUGGGUUGUGGGGAGUGGAGAGGUGUGGGGCAACCUUUAAGCCUACUAUGUCAAAUGUCACUGUUAACACACACAUUAUACAGUGCUUGCCUUCAAAGAAAAUAUUGUGAUUUCAUUCUAAAAUUAGGACAGAGAUGAUAAAUAUAUCAGAGAGAUGAGUGACACAUCACUUGUAAUCUCCGACAAACAGCCAGUAAAGACGUUUAUGUCUGUCUCUAUGAGCAUUUUUACAGUGUUUUGGAGCAUCUGUCAGCAAAGAGUCACCAUGUUCAUACUGGUGAUAUGCAUCCACCUCUUUGAGUCUUGGACCUCUUUAGUUUAGACCACGUCUCUGGGACCACGUUGAACUGAUUACCAAUGUCUGUCAAGAACAUCUGUCCCCCUAAAUACUGUAUUUUAAAGCAACUGAGCAUGAGGGGGUGUGGUAAUAUUCCCAAUAUACCACAAAUAUGGGCAGUUAGUGCUGUUAUAAACCAGUUACCAACGUA